rnacentral:rRNA from 1 species
AGGGGUUCUGAGAGGAAGGUCCCCCACACUGGUACUGAGACACGGACCAGACUCCUACGGGAGGCAGCAGUGAGGAAUAUUGGUCAAUGGGCGCGAGCCUGAACCAGCCAAGUCGCGUGAGGGAUGACGGCCCUACGGGUUGUAAACCUCUUUUGUCGGGGAGCAAAUUCCGCCACGUGUGGCGGAGUCGAGAGUACCCGAAGAAAAAGCAUCGGCUAACUCCGUGCCAGCAGCCGCGGUAAUACGGAGGAUGCGAGCGUUAUCCGGAUUUAUUGGGUUUAAAGGGUGCGUAGGCGGACUGUCAAGUCAGCGGUAAAAUACGGGGGCUCAACCUCCGCCCGCCGUUGAAACUGACGGUCUUGAGUGGGCGAGAAGUAUGCGGAAUGCGUGGUGUAGCGGUGAAAUGCAUAGAUAUCACGCAGAACUCCGAUUGCGAAGGCAGCAUACCGGCGCCCAACUGACGCUGAAGCACGAAAGCGUGGGUAUCGAACAGGAUUAGAUACCCUGGUAGUCCACGCAGUAAACGAUGAAUACUAGCUGUCCGGGGCGAAUGAGCCCUGG